AGUUUCACUCUUGUUGCCCAGGCUGGAGUGCAUUAUCCCAAUCUCGGCUUACUGCAACCUCCGCCUCCCAGGUUCAAGUGAUUCUCCUACCUCAGCCUCCUGAGUAGCUGGGAUUACAAGCACCUGCCACCACACCCGGCUACUUUUUUGUAUUUUUGGUAGAGAUGGGGUUUCAUCAUGUUGGCCAGGCUGGUCUCAAACUCCUGACCUCAGGCGAUCCACCCACUUCCCAAAGUGCAGGGAUUACAGGUGUGAGCCACCACGCCCGGCCUCUCAACCUAUCAACCUAAUUUUUAUUCUUAGUAGACACAUUGGUGGUGAGCCAAUCAGAUGUUGGUAUUGAUGAGAAAAAGCAGAAAUGAUUUCUGUUGAUUCUUGAAAUAAAAUUUUUUCCAAAGGACAAGAAGAUCCCAUCCCAGUAAGGCAAUGCAAGAACCUGAAGCAAAAUGCACCUGAGGCUUGCAGUGGGGUACAGUACAGUGUCUCCUGGGAAGGUGGUCACUAAUUUAAUGGGCAGGAUGGGGAUGGGAGAAUGUUUUGAGUGAUAUUAUGGUCUGACUUGACAGUGGAGUCAGACAUGUUUGUGUUCCAAUCAGCACUGCCACUUCCUGAGUUUGUCACCUUGGAAAGAUUUUUUCACUUAUUUCAAUUUCAGUUUUUUAAUAACUGUAAGUUACAUUUCAUCAAAAGCUUAAAUGAUGUUUAAAAAGUCAAAGACUUUGAAAGGUAUAUUUCAGAAAAAUCUAGUCAUAUAUGUUAUUUGUUACAGAUUCUUAUUUACCUUUAUCUUCUCCAGAGUGAGUGUAGUAAGUUUCUUAUGUCUGUUUUUUCUGGUUGCAUGAUUUUUUUUGUUUUUUUUUUUUUUUGAGGUGGAGUCUCGCUCUGUCACCCAGGCUGGGGUGUAGUGGUGCGAUCUCGGUUCACUGCAAGCUCUGCCUCCCGGGUUCAUGCCAUUCUCCGGCCUCAGCCUCCCGAGCAGCUGGGACUACAGGCGCCCGCCACCAUGCCCGGCUAAUUUUUUGUAUUUUUAGUAGAGACGGGCUCUCACCAUGUUGGCCAGGAUGGUCUUGAUCUCCUGACCUCGUGAUCCACCCGCCUCAGCCUCCCAAAGUGUUGGGAUUACAGGCGUGAGCCACUGCGCCCAGCUGGUUGCAUGAUUUUAAAUAGAACCCCAGGGCUUUGCUUUGGGGAAUGCUGUCAGAGAAGAGAAAUGGAAAAAUCUUUUUUCCAUUAAAGCUAUAGAAAGUGAAUACAUUUCUACAAGCAAAUGUGAUAGAUUAAUUGGUGCAUUGUAUAUAUUUCUCAAACCAUCGACUCCUCUUUUUUGCAGAGUCUAGAAUUUGUAACGAUGGGUAUCUCUGUUCUGUAUUCUGUUGUCUGAAUGUCCAUGUUUAAUGCUAAAUUUUAUGAGAUGGAACUUGACACCUUCUAGAAAUGUUCACAUAUAGUUGUUUAUUAAAUUGUCUAUCAGGGAAAUAUUUAAAUAACAUGUUAUUGUCUGAAAAGGACAGAUACUUAUGCUUUUCUUUUUUUUGAGAUGGAGCCUCGCUGUGUUGCCUAGGCUGGAAUGCAGUGGCAUGAUCUCGGCUCACUACAACCUCCACCUCCUGGGUUCAAGCGAUCCUCCUGCCUCAGCCUCCCAAGUAGCUGGGACUAUAGGCAAGCGCCACCACGCCCAGCUAAUUUUUGUAUUUUUAGUAGAGACAGGUUUCACCAUGUUGGCCGGGCUGGUCUCGAACUCCUGACCUUAGGUGAUCCACCCACCUCGGCCUCCCAAAUUGCUGGGAUUACAGGUGUGAGCCACCGUGCCCAAACCUACUUAAGCUUUUUAUAUUGUAGUAGAAAAUUUAAGUCUUACAAUUUCCUUACAAUAUUCUAUAAACAAUGUGUUGGAGUGAUUUUACUCUUUUCUUGAAACGUUGGUCAUUUUCGUUUUUUGACUUUUUUUGUUGUUGUUUUUUUUUGAGACUGAGUCUUGCUCUAUCGCCCAGGCUGGAGUGCAGUGGUGCGAUCUUGGCUCAUUGCAACCUGUGCCUCCCGGGUUCAAGGGAUUCUCGUGCCUCAGCCUUAUGGAUAGCUGGGAUUACAGGCGCAUGCCACUACUCCCGGCUAAUUUUUGUAUUUCUAGUAGAGAUGGGGUUUCACCAAAUUGGUCAGGAUGGUCUCGAACUCCUGACCUUAAGUGAUCCUCCUGCCUCAGCCUCCCAAAGUGCUGGGAUUACAGGCAUUGAACCACUGCACCUGGCCUUACAUUGGUCAUUUUCUUAUUUAAAACUAAGUGAGUAACCCUGACUGGUAAGUAGAAGCCUGAACUCAGUGACUCCAAGCUAAGGACAGCUUUGCCUGUAAAGUGAGAUCAUUGAAGGAGCAGCCAGUUCUGCCUGAGGAGCCUCCCCUGCAGAUGUCCUGGCCUGCUCACAAUAGCCAUGGACAGAGCAUUUAUACUUAGAGAAGCCACGGAGCCCUGAAAACCUCGAAAUCCACAGGCAGAUGCAGUUGGGAUUGGCACAAAAGUGGGGUUGGGAAGCUCUUUCUGGGAAUAGAGUUGUUAUUAUUCUGAGGUUGUUUCUAGAUUUUGUAAAAUAUGACAAAUUUAGAUUUAGGUAAGAAGUUACUUAAUUUUUUGAGUCUCAUUCUCUCACUGCAACCUCUGUCUCCUAGAUUCAAGCGAUCUUCUUGCCACAGCCUCCCUAGUAGCUGGGACUACAAACAGGCACCCCGAUGCCUGGCUAAUUUUUGUAUUUUUAGUAGAGAUGGGGUUUCACCAUGUUGGUCAGGCUGUUCUCAAACUCUGGACCUCAGGUGAUCCACCCACCUCAGCCUCCCAAAGUGCUAAAAUUACAGGUGUGAGCCACCGUGCUUGGUAAGAAGUUACUUAGUUUUUUUUUUUUUUUUGAGAUGGCAUUUUGCUCAGUUCCCUAGGCUGGAGUCCAGUGGGGUGAUCUUGGCUCAUUGCAACCUCCGCCUCCCGGGUUCAAGCAAUUCUCCUGCCUCAGUCUCCCAAGUAGCUGGGAUUACAGGCACCCGCCAUCAUGCCCAGCUAAUGAAGUUACUUAAUUUUAAAGGAGUAUUGCAACAAGGGGAAAGCACCAAUUAUAAGAUGUUGGAGAAUUUUAAAGGUUAGAGAGAAAAGGACUUUCUUUCAUAAGGAAGAGAAAACAAAGAAAAAAAGUGGGAAGGGGAGGGAUAGAACAUGGUGAAAGUAGAUGCUAGAUCGGGGAAUAUUUUACGCAGAAGUCAGCCUGGUUUGUUUGUUGGUUUGUUGGUUUGUUUGAGACGAGGUCUUUGCCCUGUUGCCUAGGCUAGAGUGCAGUGGCACAGUCUCAGCUCACUGCAGCCUCCACCUCCCAGGUUCAGGCAAUUCUCUCACCUCAGCCUCCCGAGUAUCUGGGAUUACAUGUGCAACAGCACACCUGGCUAAUUUUUUAUAUUUUAAAAUUUAUUUUUACAUAUUUUUUUUGAGACAGAGUCUCGCUCUGUCACCAGGCUGGAGUGCAGUGGCGUGAUCUCGGCUCACUGCAACGUAGCCUCCCGGGUUCAACCAUUCUCCUGCCUCAGCCUCCCAGGUAGCUGGGACUAUAGGCGCAGGCCACCACACCCAGCUAAUUUUUGUAUUUUUAGUAGAGACAGGGUUUCACCAUGUUGGCCAGGAUGGUCUUGAUCUCUUGACCUUGUGAUCUGCCCACCACGGCCUCCCAAAGUGCUGGGAUUACAGGUGUGAGCCACCGCGCCUGGCCUGAGUGCUAUUUUAAAUCAUCCAGAAUCAGCUGUGUAUAAUUAUCAGGUAGAAAAGUCAGUGAUUUAGAAGCACACUUUGCAAAUUGUAUCAUGUGCAACAAUAAACUGGAGAUCUUCUUGAGAUGCAGAUUCUCAUUCAAGAGAUCCAGGGUUGGGCUUAUGUUUCUGCGUUGUUGUUUUUUUUUUUUUUUUUUUUUUUGGGAGAGAGUCUUGCCUAUUCCCCACGCUGGAGUGCAGUGGCACAAUUUCGGCUCACUGCAAACCUCUGUCUUCAGGGUUCAAGCAAUCUUCUGUCUCAGCUUUUCAAGUAGUUGGGAUUACAGGUGUGUGCCUGUAAGAAUUCACGGAGAAUAUGAAAUUGAGAGUUUUAUAGAAUUUACAGGUUUAUAGCAUUAUAGCAAGAAUGGCAACAAUCUUUUUUUUUUUUUUGAGACAGUCAUCUUCUGUCACCCAAGAUGGGGUACGGUGGCGCGAUCUUGGCUCACUGCAACUGCUGUCUCCCAGGUUUUAGUGAUUCUUCUGCCUCAGCAUUUUGAGUAGCUGGGAUUACAGGUUCUGACAACAAAGGAGAUUGUGACAUAUUGCUGGGCCUAACACUAAGGUGAUGUUAGUUAUUUGCUUUGGCUGUGCCCUUGGAAGGCAUUGAGACAUACUGCUGUGCCCAGCACCAAGAUGAUGUAACGUGACUCUUCUGCUUCAGGCCUGCCAAAAGAAAAGAUUGUGACAGAUCACUGGACCCAGCACCUAGGUGAUGUGACUCUCCUCAUUUGCCUGAGACCUGCAUAUUUUAGACAUUGUGAUAUACAACUGGAACAAACACCUAGGGGUUGGAAGGCUCCUGCCUGAGUCCCUCCCACAGGAGGCCUUGUGAUGUUUUUUUGUUUGUUUUUUGUUUUCUUUGAGAUGGAGUUUCGUUAUUGUUGCCCAGACUGGCAUGCAGUGGCGCGACCUUGGCUCACCGCAACCUCCGCCUCCCGGGUUCAAUCGGUUCUCCUGCCUCAACCUCCUGAGUAGCUGGGAUUACAGGCAUCUGCCACCAUGCCCGGCUAAUUUUCUAUUUUUAAUAGAGACGGGGUUUCUCCAUGUUGGUCAGGCUGGUCUCAAACUCCUGAAAUCAGGUGAUCCACCUGCCUCAGCCUCCCAAAAUGCUGGGAUUACAGUUGUGAGCCACUGCACCCAGCUUUGUGAUGUAUUUCUGCAUCCAUCAUGCAGGAGAUAAAACUCUGUAUUUUUGCCUGCAUUCUGCCCACAGGGAAGAUUUUGACAUAUCGUUGGGCCCAGCAACCAGUCGUUUUGUCUGUCAUCUGGGCCCAGCACCCAAGGGAUCUCACUCUUCUACCUGUGCCCUGCUUUCAGGAGGGAUUGUAACAUCCCUGGUCAAGCCCCCAGUGAUGUGAUUCUCCUGUUUGAUGCCUGCCCUCAGGGAGGAUUGUGACAUAGCCCUGGCCCAACACACAGUUGAUGUAACUCUUGAAUUUGCUCUUUACAUACAGGUAGGAUUGUGACAUAUAUCUGGCCAAGCGUACAGAUGUAAUAAUGACUGUCAUACCUUGAAGAAGCCAAUAGGAGAGAGAAUGUUGCUCUCAGGCUUAGGAAAAUGAGGAAGUCUUUCUGUACAAAAGUCAUAAAGAAUUACUACUCUCUUACAUAUAUAAAGCCCUAGUGUGUUACAGAGAAUGUCAUAACAGGGCCCAGCACACAAGUGAGAUUGUGUUUGUCCUAUGCACACCACACCAACCUUUACAGUUGUCACCCUGACCCAUUGACAGAGUCUGCUAGUGAGGUUCUGAAUUACAUGUGAACACAGUCCGCAGUUGGAAUUGUGACUGUCAUAUGUGAACAUCUGGCUACAGUUGGGAUGGUGACUCAUUUCUAAAUCCAGAUCAUAGGAAGGUGAAGACUCUCCUAUCUGGACUCAGUCAGUGAGAGAGAUGUUGACUCUCAUAUCUGGGCUUAGAACCACAGGAAAGAUUCUGGAGCUCCUUGUGCAAAGGUCACAGAGGAUUAUCAAUCUUGCAUAUUGUAUAAAGUCCUCAGGUGACACAGAGUGUCUCUCGAAUGCACACCCAGGCAACAGUAAAGAUUGUCGUUCUCCCACAUAAACACAUCCCACUGUUGAAGUUCUGAAUUUCACAGAGGCUGUCAAAAGUUGGAUAAUUGCCUCUCAUGUGUGGAUCUGGUCCACAGGUGGGUUAGUGACUUCCAGACCAAGGUUCAGCGCACAUGUAAGGCUGUGACUACACUAAGAAGAUACAGUCUGCAGAAGAAAUUGUGGCUCUUUUGCACACAUUCUGUCAAUCAUUGCAAUUGCGACUCAUGUACUUAGACCCAACAUACAGGAGGUGUUGACUUUCAUACCUUUAGAACCUGGACAUGUUUGGAAUUUCUAAUCUAAUCCCUGGACUUUCCUGCAGGUGCGAUUGUGUGCAUUGCAAAGCACUUUAGUGAUUUGACUCUCCUGCCUUGGCCAAGCACACAAAUGAGAUUGUGACAUAUGGCUUGACUCUGAACCUCCAAGAUGUGACUCUUUUUUCCAGCCUUGGAGCUGCCCACAUGUUGCAUUGUGACAUAUUCCUAAGCCCUGCACUCAGGUUAUGUGACUCUCCUUUUUUGCUUAGGCCCUGAAUAUUUUUCAUGUUAAGACAUACUAGUAGGUCCAACACCUAUAAAAUGGGAGGCUACCACCUGGGCUCUUUCUACAGAGGGCCUUGUGACAUACCUCUGCAUCAAUAACCUAGGAGAUGUGAUGCUCCAUUUUUGCCUGUACGUGCCCCACAGAAAAAAUUGUGGCUGGCCCAGGUACCAGGUGAUGUGUUUCUGCUGCCUGGGCCUGGACCACAGAGAGCAUUGUUACUGAUUGCUGGGCUCAGCACCCAGGUGAUGUGACUCUGCUGCCUGUGUGCUGCUUUCAGGAGAAGGUUGUAACUUAUUUCUGGCUGAGUAUGCAGUCACACUCCUGACUGAUCUCUGCCCUCAGAAAAGGUUGUGUCAAGCUGGGCCCGGUGGCUCAUGCCAGUAAUCCGCAGCACUUAGGGAGACCGAGGUGGGUGGAUCGCCUGAGGAGUUUGAGACCAGAUGGCCAACAUGGUGAAACCCCGUCUCUACUAAAAAUCCAAAAAUUAAUCGGGUGUGGUGGCAGGCGCCUGUAAUCUCAGCUAUUUGGGAGCCUGAGGCAGGAGAAUUGCUUGAACCCGGGAGGUGGAGGUUGCAGUGAGCCAAGAUCAUGCCACUGCACUCCAGCCUGGGCAGCAGAGCAAGAUUCCAUCUUGGGAAAAAAAAAAAAAAAUUACAAAAAUUAGCCGGGCGUGGUGGUAUGCACCUAUAGUCCCAGCUACUUGAGAGGCUGAGGCACAGCAGUCACUUGAACCUAGGAGGUGGAGGUUGCAGUGAGCCAAGACUGUGCCAUUGCACUCCAGCCUGGGCAACAAGAGCAAAACUCCAUCUCAAAAAAAAAAAAAAAAAAAAAAAAAAAGGUUGUGUCAUAUUCCUGGCUAAAAACCCAGAUGAUGUGACUCUCCUCUCUCCCUAUUCACAGGCAGGAUUGUAAAAUAUAUCUUUUUUUUUUUUUUGAGACAGUUUCAUUUUGUCACCCAGGCUGGAGUGCAGUGGCAUGAUCUUGGCUCACUGCAACCUCCGCUUCCUGGGUUCAAGCAGUUCUCUUGCCUCAGCCUCCUAAGUAGCUAGCCACCACACCUGGCUAAUUUUUGUAUUUCUAGUAGAGAUAGGGUUUCCCAAUGUUGGUGAGGCUGAUCUCAAACGCUUGACCUCAGGUGAUCCACCUGCCUCAGCCUCCUAAAGUGCUGGGAUUACAGGUGUCAGCGACUGCGCCUGGCCUGUAAAAUAUAUCUUGACCUAGAUCACAGAUGCAAUGAUUACUCUCAUACCUCACAGUAUUUAAUAGGAGAGAUACUCUCUCUCUCUUGCUCUCACUCUUUUUUUUGAGACAGUUUCAUUCUUGUUACCCAGGCUGCAGUGCAAUGGCGUGAUCUCUGCCCACCACAACCUCUGCCUCCCAGGUUCAAGCGAUUCUCCUGCCUCAGCCUCCCACGUAGCUGAGAUUACAGGCAUGUGCCACCACGCCCAGCUAAUUUUGUAUUUUUAGUAGAGAUGGGGUUUCUCUAGGUUGGUUAGGCUGGUCUCGAACUCCCAACCUCAGGUGAUCUGCCCACCUCGGCCUUCCAAAGUGCUGGGAUUACAGGCAUGAACCACUGUGCCCAGCCCAAGAUGCUGUCUCUUAACAGCUAGGCCUAGAGUCAUGAAUAUGAUUCUGGGUCUCCUUGUACAAAGGUCAUGAAGAAUUGCCACUUUCUUGCAUACUAUAUAAAUCUCUUGUGGUACAGAGAGUGUCAUUACAGGGUUCAGCAUACAGAUGAGAUUCUUUCUCAUAUACACUCCCCACCAACUGUUAGAAUUGUCACCCUCACACAUGGACAGAGCCCACUGGUGAGGCCCUGAAUCACACACACACACACAGUCUACAGUUAAAAUUGUGACUGUCGGCCGGGCGCGGUGGCUCACGCCUGUAAUCCCAGCACUUUGGGAGGCCGAGGCGGGUGGAUCACGAGGUCAGGAGAUCGAGACCAUCCUGGCUAACACGGUGAAACCCCGUCUCUACUAAAAAUACUAAAAAUUAGCCGGGCGUGGUGGCGGGCGCCUGUAGUCCCAGCUACUCGGGAGGCUGAGGCAGGAGAAUGGCGUGAACCCAGGAGGCGGAGCUUGCAGUGAGCCGAGAUCGCGCCACUGCACUCCAGCCUGGGCGACAGAGCGAGACUCCGUCUCAAAAAAAAAAAAAAAAAAAAAAUUGUGACUGUCAUAUGUGAAUAUCUGGCUAGAGUUGAAAUAAUGACUUAUUUCUAAAUCCAGUUCAUAGGCAGGUGAGAAUUCUACCUGUCUAAGCCUAGAUAGGAUAGUCAACAUGUCCCUAAUUGGCUGGGGGACAUGUUGACUCUCCUACCUGGGCUUAGGGCCAAACAGUUCAUGGAAGGGAUGAAGGCUCUGGGCUCUCACGCACAGAUCCAGUUGGUGAGAUUGUCACUAGCAUACUUAGACCCAGCAUACUCUGAUACCUCAAACUGGGACAUGUGCAGGAUUUUUAAUUACUGGACCUUCCUGCAGGUGUGAUUGUGACAUAUGUCUUUGUUACACACCUGAGUGGUUUGAUGCUCCUGCCUUGUUUCAACCCAAAGUGAAGAUUGUGAUGUAUCACUGGACCCAGCAUUUCAGUGAUGUGACUCUUCUUUUUGGACACCACAAAUUUUGGGUAUUGUCAAAUAUUGCUGGAUCCUGUACCCAUGUUAUGUGACUCUCCAACCUAUGUCCUUCAUGUUGUGCCAUAUUGCAGCACAAUGUGUCACAUUAGACAUCAUUACAUAUUGCUGGGCUCAACACCCAAGUGAUGUAACAUUUUCCUGGGCCUUGACUACAGGGGGCUUUGUGACAUAACUGAAUGCCCAUAACCAUGGUGAUGUUACUCUUCUCCUGCCUGGUCUCUGCUCACAGGGAAAUUAUGACAUAUCAUUGGCCUAGCAUCUUGGUGAUGUGACUCUCCUCUUUUUCUCAGGCCCCACAUAUUUGAGUAUUGUGACAUACCCACAUGUGACACUGGGCUUAACACCUAAGGGAUGGGAGUUCUCUACCUGGCCCCUUCCUGAAGGGGGCAUUGUGACAUACUUCUGCACAGGUAUGUCACAGUUAUUACCUAGGAGAUGUGACUCUCCUCUUUUGCCUGCACCCUGCUUACAGGGAAAAUUGUGGCACAUUUCUGUGGCCAGCAACCAGGUGAUGUGUUUCUCCUGCUUGGGUCUUUAUUACAGAAAAGAUGGUUGACAUAUCACUAGGCCCAGCAUCUAGGCGAUGUGACUGUCUUCUUCUGCCUGGUCCCUGCUUACAGGAACAUUGUAGCAUAUUGCUAUGCCCAGCACUUUUCUCUUCUUUUAGGUUUUGCCUGCAGGAGACUUUGUGACAUUGCUGGGCCCUGCACUGACAUUAUUUGACUCUUCUGUCUCUGCCUACUUGGGCCAUUGUGACAUAUUGCUGGGUCCAACAUCCAGGUGAUGUAACUUUUAUGCCUGGGUCCUGGCACCAGAGGACAUUGUCUUUGCACCACUCACAGAGGUGAUGUGAUUUUCUUCUGUUACCUGGUCUCUGCUCACAGGAAGAAUUGUGACCUUGGCCAGGCUCGGUGGCUCACACCUGUAAUCAUAGCACUUUGGGAGGCCGAGGCGAGUGGAUACCUGAGGUCAGGAGUUCGAGACCAGCCUGGCCAACAUGGUGAAACCCUGUCUUACUUAAAACACAAAAAUUAGCUGGGCGUGGUGGCAGGCGCCUGUAGUUCCAGCCACCCACGAGGCUGAGGCAGGAGAAUCGCUUGAACCGGGUAGGCGGAGAUUGCAGUGAGCCGAGAUUGCGCCACUGCACUCCAGCCUGGGUGACAGGGAGACUCCAUCUCAAAGAAAAAAAAAGUGACCUUUUGCAGCACAUAGCUGAUUUGACUGUGCUUUGUGGAGUACACCAAGCAGGUUGUCAAACUGGUGGUCCCUUUACUGAAAUUUUAUUUCCACGAUGGUGUUGGAGAGGCAGCAGCAGAAUCCGUGCCUUUUCUUCUGGAGUGUGUGAGAGUCCGUGGUCCUGAGUAUCUCACACAGAUGUGGCAAUUUAUGUGAUGUUCUGAUUAAGACCAUUGGUACAGAAACAGAUUCAGACGUCCUCAGAAAUAAUGCAUUGUUUAGCAAAGUGCAUUGAAGUUAUGGGAGACGGAUGCCUUAAUAAUGAACACUUCGAAGAACACCUUUGCCACAUGGCCUCAGGACCUUCUGAGGGCUGUGUCAUGGGGCAUGGUCACUCAUAUUUGACUCAAUAAAUUUCUUCAAAUAUUUUAAAGAGUUUGACCCUUAGUCGACACAGUUGAUGUGUGGAGCACUCUUGCUGUGCCAGCCAGUGUUUCAAAGCCAUUUAGAUAUUUUUGCUCAUUAAGUCUUCAUCAGCAAAAACUCUGUAGGUAAGUUUAAUGAUUCCUCGUGUCACAGACAAGGUGACUGAAAGAAGAAAAAAUUCAGGAACUUGCCCAAAGUCAGCCAGAUAGGAAGUGGCUGAGCUAAACUGUGCUCUAACCUACUCCUUGCUUCCCUUUUACAGACAAUGCCAUUGUGCAUUGAUUAAACAACUAUUCAUUGAGCACCUGCCAUGGGCUGAGGCCUGUGAUUGCCACUGGGAAUAUAGUGUAAACAAGACAUAGCUCCCCAGAACAAAAGUAUAAGGAAGUAAACAACAAACACCAAGAUUAUAUCAAAGAUGUGAAAUGCCAGAACAUGCCGCUGCUAUAAAGAAUGUCCACAGGGUUAUUGGGGGUAGGUUCUAAUUAAAAGGAGGUGAGUAAAGCAAAGCUUUCCAGAGACUGCCAGAGCUGAGCCAGGUCUGGAGGCUCUUAUCAAUGUCAGUACUUAGUUUGUCUCAGUUUCUUUGUUUGCAGCCCCUAAAAUCUAGAGUUUGUCUCAGUUUCUUUGUAUGCAGCCCCUAAAAUCUUUAGAAUGUCUGAAAAGAGAAGCAUCUUUUGUAUGUUAAUGAGAUGACUUCUGGCUGGAGGCUUCUGGACAGCCUCAGGACCAGGGUUGAUUGCCAGAGAAACCAAUUGUGUAAUAGAGGAUUAAAACUCUCAGCUGGCUGGGCGUGGUGGCUCAUCCCUGUAAUCCCAGCACUUUGGGAGGCAGAUCACCUAAGGUCAGGAGUUCAAGACCAGACCAGCCAAAAUGGUGAAACCCUGUCCCUACUAAAAAUACACAAAUUAGCUGGGUGUGGAGGUGAGCACCUGUAAUCCCAGCUACUCAGGAGGCUGAAGCAAGAGAAUCGCUGGAACCUGGGAGGCGGAGGCUGCAGUAAGGCGAGAUCAAGCAACUGCACUCCAGCCUGGGUGACAGAGCAAGAUUCCAUCUCAAAAAACAAAAACAAACAAAACUCUCAGCUUAACUUCUUACCUCCUUGGAUGGUAGAGAAGCCAUCCGGGCUUUGUAAAAGUAAAAAGAGUACCUUAUUUGAUUCAACUAAAUAAAUUGUUAAAUAAAGGGGAAUAUCAGUGAAAAGCUCUUCCACCCCAGCCUCACUAGUUAAAGUACCAAUUAGGGGAAGUUUUUUUGGUAUCCUGAAAUUGCUUUUGGCCUUUCCAUGCAUAUCAUCCUUAAGAAAGGGCACACUCUUAAACCAAUCUGUGACCUCAUACCAUUCUAAAAAAAAAAAAAUUUAUACCAAAAGUGCACAAUUUAGCUGUUUUCAUUAAGCCAACAAUAUUUUAUAAGCAUAUGCAAGCAAAGAUUAUUCUGUCAUGUGCUGGGCUUUAUCAUUUGUAACCCUUAGGGCAAAUCUUAUAGUAUUGUUGGAGGAAUAAUCAUAAAACCACUUGAUUUUUUUUUUUUUUUUGAGACGGAAUCUCUGUCAGCCAGCGUAGAGUACAGUGGUGCAAUCUCGGCUCACUGCAACCUCUGCUUCCUGGGUUAAAGCCAUUCUCCUCCCUCAGCUUCCUGAGUAGCUGGGAUUACAGUCAUGCACAAUGGUACCUGGCCAACUUUUGGUAUUUUUAGUAGAGACAGGGUUUCAUCAUGUUGUCCAGGCUGGUUUCGAACUCCUGACUUCAAGUGAUCCACCCACCUUGGCCUCCCAAAGUGCUGGGAUUAUAGACAUGAGCCACUGAGGCUGGCCAAAAACCCCUUGAUUAAAAAAAAUGUUCCGGACGCGGUGGCCCACACCUGUAAUCCCAGCACUUUGGGAUGCCGAGGUGGGUGGAUCACAAGGUCGGGAGUUCAAGACCAGCCUGGCCAAGAUGGUGAAACUCCGUCUCUACUAAAAAUACAAAAAUUAGCCAGGCAUGGUGGCAGGCGUCUGUAAUACCAGCUACUCAGGAGGCUGAGGCAGAGAACUGCUUGAACCCGGGAGGGGGAGCUUGCAGUGAGCCAAGAUCGCGCCACUGCACUCCAACCUGAGCGACAGAGUGAGACUACAUCUCAAAAAAAAAGUUAACAAAAUGCUAACAAUAUUUAAGACAUUGCUGAUACUAUUUUACCAAUAAUUUUAAAGUCGCCUUAUUAAAGAUUAUAUGUAAGUCACAAACUUUUUUUUUUUUUGAGAUGGAGUCUCACAGUCUCACCCAGGCUGGAGUG